GACGAACGCUGGCGGCGUGCUUAACACAUGCAAGUCGAGCGGGGUUUAUCGGAUUAGCUUGCUAAACUGAUAAACCUAGCGGCGGACGGGUGAGUAACGCGUGAGCAAUCUGCCUCAUACAGGGGGAUAACAGGUGGAAACACCUGCUAAUACCGCAUAAGACUCCACCACCGCAUGGUAGAGAAGUCAAAGGGAUUACCGGUAUGAGAUGAGCUCGCGUCCCAUUAGCUAGUUGGUAGGGUAAAGGCCUACCAAGGCGGCGAUGGGUAGCCGACCUGAGAGGGUGAUCGGCCACACUGGGACUGAGACACGGCCCAGACUCCUACGGGAGGCAGCAGUGGGGAAUAUUGCACAAUGGAGGGAACUCUGAUGCAGCAACGCCGCGUGAGUGAAGAAGGUUUUCGGAUCGUAAAACUCUGUCAUUGGGGAAGAAUAAAUGACGGUACCCAAUGAGGAAGCCCCGGCUAACUACGUGCCAGCAGCCGCGGUAAUACGUAGGGGGCGAGCGUUGUCCGGAAUUACUGGGCGUAAAGGGUACGUAGGCGGCUAUAUAGUCAGGUGUGAAAUACCAGUGCUUAACACUGGAAUUGCAUUUGAAACUGUGUAGCUGAGUGCAGAGAGGAAAGUGGAAUUCCUAGUGUAGCGGUGAAAUGCGUAGAGAUUAAGGAGGAACACCAGUGGCGAAAGCGACUUUCUGGACUGUAACUGACGCUGAGGUACGAAAGCGUGGGUAGCGAACAGG
rnacentral:rRNA from 1 species